UCUUAGUUUCAGCAGAAUAGUCAUAGUUA
rnacentral:piRNA from 1 species